rnacentral:rRNA from 1 species
UACGUAGGGGGCAAGCGUUGUCCGGAUUUAUUGGGCGUAAAGAGCGUGUAGGCGGCCGCACAGGUCCGUUGUGAAAACUGGAGGCUUAACCUCCAGACGUCGAUGGAAACCGUGCGGCUAGAGUCCGGAAGAGGAGAAUGGAAUUCCUGGUGUAGCGGUGAAAUGCGCAGAUAUCAGGAGGAACACCGGUGGCGAAGGCGGUUCUCUGGGCAUUACCUGACGCUGAGGAGCGAAAGUGUGGGGAGCGAACAGG